CGUACACGGUGGAUGCCCUGGCAGUCAGAGGCGAUGAAGGACGUGCUAAUCUGCGAUAAGCGUCGGUAAGGUGAUAUGAACCGUUAUAACCGGCGAUUUCCGAAUGGGGAAACCCAGUGUGUUUCGACACACUAUCAUUAACUGAAUCCAUAGGUUAAUGAGGCGAACCGGGGGAACUGAAACAUCUAAGUACCCCGAGGAAAAGAAAUCAACCGAGAUUCCCCCAGUAGCGGCGAGCGAACGGGGAGCAGCCCAGAGCCUGAAUCAGUGUGUGUGUUAGUGGAAGCGUCUGGAAAGGCGCGCGAUACAGGGUGACAGCCCCGUACACAAAAAUGCACAUGCUGUGAGCUCGAUGAGUAGGGCGGGACACGUGGUAUCCUGUCUGAAUAUGGGGGGACCAUCCUCCAAGGCUAAAUACUCCUGACUGACCGAUAGUGAACCAGUACCGUGAGGGAAAGGCGAAAAGAACCCCGGCGAGGGGAGUGAAAAAGAACCUGAAACCGUGUACGUACAAGCAGUGGGAGCACGCUUAGGCGUGUGACUGCGUACCUUUUGUAUAAUGGGUCAGCGACUUAUAUUCUGUAGCAAGGUUAACCGAAUAGGGGAGCCGAAGGGAAACCGAGUCUUAACUGGGCGUUAAGUUGCAGGGUAUAGACCCGAAACCCGGUGAUCUAGCCAUGGGCAGGUUGAAGGUUGGGUAACACUAACUGGAGGACCGAACCGACUAAUGUUGAAAAAUUAGCGGAUGACUUGUGGCUGGGGGUGAAAGGCCAAUCAAACCGGGAGAUAGCUGGUUCUCCCCGAAAGCU
rnacentral:rRNA from 1 species